UACGUAGGGCGCAAGCGUUGUCCGGAAUUAUUGGGCGUAAAGAGCUCGUAGGCGGCUUGUCACGUCGGGUGUGAAAGCCCGGGGCUUAACCCCGGGUCUGCAUUCGAUACGGGCUAGCUAGAGUGUGGUAGGGGAGAUCGGAAUUCCUGGUGUAGCGGUGAAAUGCGCAGAUAUCAGGAGGAACACCGGUGGCGAAGGCAGGUCACUGGGCCGCAACUGACGCUGAGGAGCGAAAGCGUGGGGAGCGAACAGG
rnacentral:rRNA from 1 species